UACGUAGGGGGCUAGCGUUGUCCGGAAUUAUUGGGCGUAAAGAGCGUGUAGGCGGCCAGACAGGUCCGUUGUGAAAACUCGAGGCUCAACCUCGAGAUGUCGAUGGAAACUGUCUGGCUAGAGUCCGGAAGAGGAGUGUGGAAUUCCUGGUGUAGCGGUGAAAUGCGCAGAUAUCAGGAAGAACACCUAUGGCGAAGGCAGCACUCUGGGACGGUACUGACGCUGAGACGCGAAAGCGUGGGGAGCAAACAGG
rnacentral:rRNA from 1 species